GGAGAGGUGGCAGAGCUGGUCGAAUGCGUCUGAUUUGAAAUCAGAAGAGGCUUUACAAGUCUCCGUGGGUUCGAAUCCCACUCUCUCCU
rnacentral:tRNA from 1 species